rnacentral:rRNA from 1 species
GACAAACGCUGGCGGCGUGCUUAACACAUGCAAGUCGAACGGAAAGGCCCUGCUUUUGUGGGGUGCUCGAGUGGCGAACGGGUGAGUAACACGUGAGUAACCUGCCCUUGACUUUGGGAUAACUUCAGGAAACUGGGGCUAAUACCGGAUAGGAGCUCCUGCUGCAUGGUGGGGGUUGGAAAGUUUCGGCGGUUGGGGAUGGACUCGCGGCUUAUCAGCUCGUUGGUGGGGUAGUGGCUUACCAAGGCUUUGACGGGUAGCCGGCCUGAGAGGGUGACCGGCCACAUUGGGACUGAGAUACGGCCCAGACUCCUACGGGAGGCAGCAGUGGGGAAUAUUGCACAAUGGGCGGAAGCCUGAUGCAGCAACGCCGCGUGCGGGAUGACGGCCUUCGGGUUGUAAACCGCUUUCGCCUGUGACGAAGCGUGAGUGACGGUAAUGGGUAAAGAAGCACCGGCUAACUACGUG